GAUUGCAUCCCUCCAAUGAAACGAGAAGACAGACGGAACGACACAGGCAAGAUCGCGACAUUGAUUAGAGGCAGAAUUUCUUAUGCUUACGCAUAUGCAGUACGGUAACUGUGUUAAAAAUUCAUGUUUGCUUGUGCACUUUGUAGAGUGAGAUUUAUUUACAAAUUUUUUUUAUAUUAUAAUUGUGAAAUUUAGUUAAUACUCUGAAAUGUGUUUCGUUUUGAAAGUAAGUGAUGUUUACAUAAGUGUUUAUGUAUUUAACAUGCUCAAAUCUUCUGGUACUUAUGAAUCUGCUGAAGAAAUUUUGAAAGCCAUUGAGAUUGUAUCCAUUCAUCAAUCAGAAAUAUUGUUUGAAGAAAUGGAAACAAAUUCAAGAUAAUUGUUCUCUGGAACAACUGAGAAUGGAAGUUAACUCACUAUUAUCUCAAGUUGAUCUGAAUUCAUUAUCAGUCAGCUAUAAUUCAUUCUCAUUCAGUUGAUUAGCGUUUUACAUCAUACGAAUUUACCAUCACAUGAAUUUUCCAUAUGUUUAGUGCAGCAUAGCCAAGUUCGUUUCUUAUUUCAUUAACCCCCAACUUCUAAUCAAAACCAGGCAACAAAUUUUGAUGUUUGUUUAUCUAUAAACAUUAUCUUACUAUUAAAUAUUUAAAAUAUUCUUUUGUGCCAAGUGCCUGCAUCUUCCAUUAAACACCACAACAAAAAUUCAUUCUAUGAUCAGUAUGAAAGGCAUUUGUUUGGAUAAAUGUUAAUGACAGCUUAAAAAAAAUUGCUAUUUUAUGUAUUAUUUCAUCUUAUAUUGUUUUAGAAUUGUAUUAUGUCAUUCUUAAAACAAUUUUCAAAAGGUCUUUGUUAUUCAUUCUAAAAAUUAUUAAGAAAAAGAAAAUGUGCAUAAAAUUUUGCUUCAGAAAUUGUCUAUUUGUUUCUUUGAAAAUAAAACAUUUGAACUCAUUUUAAUUCAAUUUGAACACGUGCAAAAUUUUGAACUGUAAUGUUGAAAUAGAGAAAAGGUAAACAUAUAUAGUUAUUGCACAAUACCAUAUUUCAAAAAAUCUUUGUUUGUAAAAUAGAGUGCCAUGUUUGUCAUUUGUUUAUGCUCCACAGUACAAAAUUCAUUCUGAAGUAGGCUUUCCUAAAAAACUGGGUAUUAAAUUCACUAACUAAAAUUACUAAACAACUUCAUUAGUGUAUAUUGUUUCAUUUGUGUGUUCAGUACAGUCAUUAGGGAACUUAAUAUGUUUCUAUGUUUAUUUUUUAUAUAAAAAAUCUCAAAUAGUA